rnacentral:rRNA from 1 species
ACGAACGCUGGCGGCGUGCUUAACACAUGCAAGUCGAACGGUAAGGCCCUUCGGGGUACACGAGUGGCGAACGGGUGAGUAACACGUGGGUGAUCUGCCCUGCACUUCGGGAUAAGCCCGGGAAACUGGGUCUAAUACCGGAUAGUACUGCGCGGUGCAUGCCGUGUGGUGGAAAGAUUUAUCGGUGCAGGAUGGGCCCGCGGCCUAUCAGCUUGUUGGUGGGGUAAUGGCCUACCAAGGCGACGACGGGUAGCCGGCCUGAGAGGGCGACCGGCCACACUGGGACUGAGACACGGCCCAGACUCCUACGGGAGGCAGCAGUGGGGAAUAUUGCACAAUGGGCGCAAGCCUGAUGCAGCGACGCCGCGUGAGGGAUGACGGCCUUCGGGUUGUAAACCUCUUUCAGCAGGGACGAAGCGCAAGUGACGGUACCUGCAGAAGAAGCACCGGCCAACUACGU